UUAGACAAAAUUUUGAAAUCAUAUGAAAUUUUCCUAGGCUGCUUUUUUUAGGAGCAGAAACAAAGAAAGAAAAGCUUCCUUUCCAAAUCCCCUUUUUGUGUUUUAUAAUUAUAUCAGUAAUUUCAGACCCCAUUUCAUUAUUUUUCAAUGUGUCAUCAUUAUAUAUAUAUUUAUAUAUAUAUCUAUAUAUUUUGGCUCUGAAAGAAGAAGUACUACAACAAAAACUCACAAGAGGGUAAGCUUAUAUUGAUCAUUGGAAUAAUGAGUUUUUCUCAGGGACAGUACUUAACAUUAUUGGAGGUGCUUGAUGAAUAUUAUUGUUAUUAUUAUUAUUCAUGAUCAUGAUCUUAUUAGUAUGAUCAUGUUGAUGAUGAUGAUGAGGAUGAUGAUGAAGUAGUGGUGGUGGUGUUUGAUUAUUAUUAUUAUUGUUAUUGAAGGGCUUAUGGGUUCUUGGAUCUAUACCUUGAUUGAUUAGCUUCUUGCUAAGUUAUGUAUUACCGGUUGCCAAGAAGACGAUGAAGACGGAGUAUGAGAUCUUCUUCAUCGGGUUGGAUAUGGCCACGUUUUACAGAUGGACGGAGAUAGUUCAUCCACCGGAGACGGCAGCUCUUUCCACAUCUGAGUAAGCCAGCUCUCUUGGGAAGAGUCCUCCACCGUCCUUCUCCUUCUUUUCUUAUAAAUUCACACAAAACUUCAUCUUCCUCCGCCGUCCACGGCCCUCUCUUUAUCCCAACUUUGCUACAACACGGUGUCGUUUUACUACCACCACCACUACUACUACUACCUCUUCUCAUUUCUUCUAUAUGGGUUUGGUUUUUGGUUUUUGGUUUUUGGAUAUCCCAAUUUGAGAUUUGUGUGUGUUGUUUUUCUUAUAGGUUAAGGUUUUUUUAUUUUUUAUUUAUGGAUAUUAAAAUGUUUGUUCUUUGUUUUUUGGUGUGCGUGAGUGUCACGCGCUCAUGAUAAAUUAUUGUUCCUUUUUUUUGGACCUAA